rnacentral:rRNA from 1 species
CCCUUAGAUGUUCUGGGCUGCACGCGCGCUACAAUGGCGUUUUCAAAAAGAUUGCUAAUCCGAAAGGACCAGCGGAUCUUCGAAGUGGCGUCGUGAUCGGGACAGUUGAUUGCAAUUAUUCGACUCGAACGAGGAAUUCCUUGUAAUCGUGCGUCAUCAGCGCACGCUGAAUACGUCCCUGUUCUUUGUACACACCGCCCGUCGCUCCUACCGAUCGAGCGAUCCAAUGAAUGUUUCGGAGCGGAACUGAGAUGCUAAUGCGUCUCUUUUACGCGACUUUGUGUGAAUUUGAUCGCUUAGAGGAAGGAGAAGUCGUAACA